UGUCGCUAUGUUAUUUGAUUUCUCCUCUGCAAGCGGAAACCUGUGACCCCAGGAAAUAUAAAAAUCAGAUAAAAUGGAAAUCUCGACAAUUUAUACUAUUCUCUAACAUUUCAGAAAACAGAUUAUAACAAUCAAUAAGCACAAUUGCAAACUUUGAUUUUUAAAUCUUUAUUGAAAGUAAAAUGUACCGAAGAGGAAUUAUGUUAUCAAUUCCAUAUAAAACCAUUGUGAACAGCA
rnacentral:lncRNA from 1 species